CCAGUAUGCAGUACUAGCGAAGCUAAAGUAUGUGUAGGAUGCAAUUCCAACGCUGAUUGUUCUAAUCAACAAAAAGUGUGUAAUGCUGAAAAUGUAUGUGAAGCAUGUCAAAGCACUGAAGUAUAUGACCCAGCUAGGGCAUCGUGUGCAAUAGCGUGCACUACCGAUAAUGAUUGUUCUGGUAUUACUGAUAAACCAGUAUGCCGUACUGGCGAUCUUAAUGUAUGUGUAGGAUGCAAUUCCAACGCUGAUUGUUCUAAUCAACAAAAAGUGUGUAAUGCUGAAAAUGUAUGUGAAGCAUGUCAAAGCACUGAAGUAUAUGACCCAGCUAGGGCAUCGUGUGCAAUAGCGUGCACUACCGAUAAUGAUUGUUCUGGUAUUACUGAUAAACCAGUAUGCCGUACUGGCGAUCUUAAUGUAUGUGUAGGAUGCAAUUCCAACGCUGAUUGUUCUAAUCAACAAAAAGUGUGUAAUGCUGAAAAUGUAUGUGAAGCAUGUCAAAGCACUGAAGUAUAUGACCCAGCUAGGGCAUCGUGUGCAAUAGCGUGCACUACCGAUAAUGAUUGUUCUGGUAUUACUGAUAAACCAGUA